rnacentral:lncRNA from 1 species
CUAGAGCACAGUGCCUGUUUGCUGCCCUGCAGGCUGUGAGCACUCACUUUAGUUGAGCCCCUGAGGGGCAGGGGCAAGGGCAGAGGAGAUGGAGUCCGGGAGCUGCAGGUGCAGUCACCUUCCCAUGUACCUCCCACACAUGCAGCUGUGAGAACCACACAGCAUAAAGGGUGGCUGGGCCAGGCCACCCCACGCGUCCUCAUCACCCCUGGGCCUUUCCAAGGAGAUGGCUCCAGGUGUCCAGCAAACACCAUUUGACUACCCAGAAAGGAAGCAUUAUCAUAGGCUCAGAGCAGCUUUUGGUAAUUUCUUUCCUCUCACACCAAAGCAUUGUGUGCGCACGUGUGUGUGUGUGUGUGUGUUUUAAUUUUUAUUUUAGAGACAGGGUUUUGCUGUGUUGCUCAGGCUUGUCUUGAACUUCUGGGCUCGUGUGCUGCGAUUACAGGGUGAGCCACUGCGCCUGAUCAAGGCAUCACCGUUGAACCUCCUAAGAGGAAAACAUAAGGCUGUGCAAUACCAGGAACUGGGAUUCUAGGUUGCCCCAGACACCAAGGCAUCAAAAGCCAGGGGAUCCAGAGAAAACACAGACAGCCAAGAGAGAAACUGCGGGAAAAGCCAAAAGGUUGAGAGCCACACCAUCUAGAAGCUUCCUGCCUGCGGUGCGGCACAGAAACAAGGAGAGUCAGCAAUUACCAGCCAGCCGAGGUCCUGGAAGCUGACGUAGAGCUCGUGCCGACGGCAGACCUGCCGGCCGUGGGAGCCGUGGACGUCAUCUGCAGGGACAGAAGGGGCAAGGUCUUUUCUGGGGUUCCUGCUGUGUGCAGCUACUAUGGGGUACCAGGGUGGGGGAUGCCCUGAUGAGCACAUUUGUCAAAUAAAUGAAUGACAGGAAACCAUUUGGUCUCAUAAAGCCCAUCCCUGGAACUCUGCUUGUACCAUGACCCAGCUCAGAAGCCUGCCAUGGCUCCCAAUGGCUAGAGUGACACUGUGCCCAGUCCUCCCCUGUCCUUCAGCCUAUGAGCGUCUUUAUGCUCCAGUAAACAG